GACGAACGCUGGCGGCGUGCCUAACACAUGCAAGUCGAGCGAUGAAGCCCUUCGGGGCGGAUUAGCGGCGGACGGGUGAGUAACACGUGGGUAACCUGCCUCAAAGAGGGGGAUAGCCUCCCGAAAGGGAGAUUAAUACCGCAUAACAUUAGUUUUUCGCAUGAAGAACUAAUUAAAGGAGUAAUCCGCUUUGAGAUGGACCCGCGGCGCAUUAGCUAGUUGGUGAGGUAAAGGCUCACCAAGGCGACGAUGCGUAGCCGACCUAAGAGGGUGAUCGGCCACAUUGGAACUGAGACACGGUCCAGACUCCUACGGGAGGCAGCAGUGGGGAAUAUUGCACAAUGGGCGAAAGCCUGAUGCAGCAACGCCGCGUGAGUGAUGAGGGCCUUCGGGUUGUAAAGCUCUGUCUUUUGGGACGAUAAUGACGGUACCAAAGGAGGAAGCCACGGCUAACUACGUGCCAGCAGCCGCGGUAAUACGUAGGUGGCGAGCGUUGUCCGGAUUUACUGGGCGUAAAGGAUGCGUAGGCGGAUAUUUAAGUGAGAUGUGAAAUACCCGGGCUUAACUUGGGUGCUGCAUUUCAAACUGGAUAUCUAGAGUGCGGGAGAGGAGAAUGGAAUUCCUAGUGUAGCGGUGAAAUGCGUAGAGAUUAGGAAGAACACCAGUGGCGAAGGCGAUUCUCUGGACCGUAACUGACGCUGAGGCAUGAAAGCGUGGGUAGCAAACAGGAUUAGAUACCCUGGUAGUCCACGCCGUAAACGAUGAGUACUAGGUGUAGGAGGGUCCAACCUUCUGUGCCGCAGUUAACACAAUAAGUACUCCGCCUG
rnacentral:rRNA from 1 species